rnacentral:rRNA from 1 species
CUUUGCGCCUAUUUUGUUGGUUUCUAGGUGUAGAGUAAUGAUUAAUAGAGUCAGUUGGGGGUGUUCAUAUUUAGUUGUCAGAGGUGAAAUUCUUGGAUUUACGAAAGAUGAACUUCUGCGAAAGCAUUCAUCAAGGAUGUUUUCAUUAAUCAAGAACGAAAGUUAGGGGAUCGAAGACGAUCAGAUACCGUCGUAGUCUUAACCAUAAACUAUGCCGACCAGGGAUUGAAGGACGUUACAUGGAUGACUCCUCCAGCACCUUGCGAGAAAUCACAAGUCUUUGGGUUCUGGGGGGAGUAUGGUCGCAAGGCUGAAACUUAAAGGAAUUGACGGAAGGGCACCACCAGGAGUGGAGCCUGCGGCUUAAUUUGACUCAACACGGGGAAACUCACCAGGUCCAGA